GAAAGACUGGUCAAGAGAAAUAAUAGACCGAUGACGCUUUAUUACCAGAAACAUCUCCUAAAAGAGCAUGCAAAUAAACUGACAAUACUCACUGGGAAUUCUUUUUUAUGGUGUGCUCUUUUUUUUUCCAGCAUCAUUGUCUUUGUCUGUAACCUUUCACAUCCUCCACCUGUUUCUCCUACCUGUGUUCUCCUGAUGCUCCUGAGAUCUCCAAAUAUGCAGAGUGAACAUAAACUAGAUCGAUCUUGGCUCUUGUCCUGCAUUUCCAGCAUGUUCCAGAGACCUUUUCAGUGCUGAAAUAGCUCCUGUCUGCUCAGGGCAGGAAGCUCAAGGUUGCUCUUCAGGGGCACUGCCAGCCCUGCGCAGACCUUGCUGCUCUUUGUAGGGUCAAGGUGGGUCUCUAGGCACAGGUUGCGGUGUGUUCUGAAUGAGCAGCAGUUCCACCAUGCUGUGGGAAGCAAACACCUACACCCAUUCCUUGCACACCAUGCCCAUGGAGCCAGCACGCCUGAAAGGCACAGCCUCCCUGCCGGGAAGUGCCAGAGUGCCCAGACGGAUGCAGGGAUGGAGCAGACUGCCCAGAGGUGCAUGGCUUUAGAGUCCUGGUCCAGCGUGCAGGUCCAUCGCCUCCUGAAGAAGUUCAGAGCGAGCAGGUCCAGGCUUGGCAGAGUGAGAAAUAGAAAAGAAAACGAGGGGGACAGUGUGGAAGGGGUGGCUGGCUUCUCAUUAAGGAGCAUUUCAGCUGCUGGUCUGAAGGAAGACUUUGAAAAGAAAGCGCAGAGCCCUCCUGGCAGGGCAGCGAGCCCAGCUGCCCUCCCCACGUCUCACUUUUUAUAAAUUCUGGGAAACACUUUUAGACAGACACUGGCACUCAUAAAUUAUACAACUCAUUUGCAUAUUCCAGUCAUGAGACAUUAUGCAAAUGUGACCUGAUUUGCAUAAUGGAUUCCUCUCGUCGCUUCACUUGCUUCAUGCUUUUAAAAAACAAAAUGAAAUAAAAUGAAAGCACAAGAAGGUGGAAGCGAUGAGUUCCCAGCCCCGCCGCGUCUCCUCCCAACCGCACCGUCAUUCACCAGCAGAGACCGGGGCGAGGGAGAGCGAAAGCGAAAAAACAAAGCCCUCACAUGGUGUAUUUCGCCUGUAAUUACGACCAUCUAACUUUCCCCUGGUUGAGAUUCUUCACCCCAAGUGACAUAUCGGAGCCAACCGAGGAAACAAAAAAUGCCCUGGAAAACAGGAUAAGCAGAAAAGGGCAGCGUUCCCCAGGCUCCCCGCCCCAGCACCUCCAGCUUGCGCGGAUGGGAGCCCCGCCACGCGGCCGAGCUGCCCUCCUGCUGCCCCUCCAGCAGAGCCCGUGCAGCCAUUGAGCGCAGAGGGGAGGGAGCAUUGGGACUGUUUGUCGCAAAACACGAUGGUGACAUCUUGGGAAGGAUGAGACGGGCGCACAUCAGCUUCCUUCCGCCGUGCUCCAAAGACAGAGCCUCUGCAGCCACCCAGCUCUGCUGUGGGCGCAUCCCUGCCCCCCUGCACCGCACGAGCGGCAGCGCCGUGCCAGGCGGCUGUACCCUGUGGGAAAAGUUAACUGUAAUUCUUCAGCUUUUAAAAUCAAUUAACCCGUGUGUUAAUUAACGUCAAGUCGACGGGAGGAGGAGGAGGAGGGGAGAGAGGGAGGGAGGAGGGAAGAAAAAAAAGCUGCAAGGGCGGAUGGCAGAAGAGUUGGCACAGUGCCAUCCAUUCAGUGGCAACGCCACAGUUCCGUGUGAUAACGGCAGCGGGUAUAUGUUACGGGGGCCCUGUGCGCGGGCCAGACAGUGCGGUAACGCUAAGGGAGAUUAUCCAGACCCCCAGGAGCAAGCGGCGCGCAGCGAGCAGAGGCGCAAGUGCCAGGAUUACAGACGAGGCUCUCCGCCGCCAGCCCUGCCUUGGACACGCUCGGCUAUGGGCACAGCACGCCGGCUUCCAGCACGUUUCCCCCUUGAACGUCAUUCUGCCGCAGUGGAGCCAGCACAACGGAUGCUUUCACACCCCGCGAGACAAAGGCCGUCGUCUCCGCCAUGACACCGCGCCGCUCCAUGCCGAGGCCGGCAUCUUGGAGGCUUCAAAAAUAAAGGGAAAUCGGCAACGCGGACAAUAAAAACGGCAAAAGAAAAAGGCUUGGCAACAACCCCCUCGUGCCCGCUCGCCGUGCCAGGGGCAACAUGGGCAUCUGUCGCAGCAGAAGGCGUUUGUGAGGGGCUUUCUUUUUUUUUUUUUUUCUCUUUUCUCUUUUUUCGCAAGCUGUUGAUGUGUUUGCCAUUCAGGUUCAUUUACAAUUAACUCCAAAAAAAGCCCCACCACACCCAGAUUGGGCAACAACAAACAAAAGGGAGCAGCCGACAUCCAGAGAGAAGUGCCAUCUGAGGCUGUACCAACGCGGGCGACGGACAGUGCCAUUCGCCAUUCGGACAAGCUGAGGGAGAGGUGCCAGCCCUGCAGCUCGGGAGGGACCCGAGAGGGGAGCACGAAGGUCUCCAAACAGCACGCCGAGGGAAGGAAGGAAUACCGCUCUCAUAGGGCAGGAUCACAGCUGCACACAGCCUCUGCUGGGAGGAGAGGGAAUGUUUGUAGAUAGCGAGAUGCCUGUGUAUGCACAUACACACAGAGCAGUGUGCGUGUGGACACACAUACACACAUGCACACAAUGCCUCAGAUAAUUGCAGAUUAGAAGUAUGAGUGUGUGUGCGUGUGUGCGGAGAUGUGUGUGUACUGUGUGCACACAUACAUGUGCGGGGAUAUAUAUCUGUGUGCACGCAUGUAAUAUGCGUACAUACACGUGUGAGGAGAUGUACGUUUGUGUGCUUGGGAGAGACAAAUUCACACACACACGCAUCCACACAGUGUGAGCAUACAUCCCACUUUUUGACCUAGGUAUACACGGAAGACAAAAUAAAAAUCAUACUCCAGCAGCAAGCAGGCAGUCAGAGAUUUAUCUACAUUCACUGCUAUCACCAGGGAGAUGAAUGGGGCCGAUCUGAAGCCCUUUGCAAGAUCCACUAUAGGAGUGAAGGAGGAGGAGGGAUGCCACACAGACAUGCACAAACUUGAAGACAGAGAGAUUUGGAAGGUGCUACUUGUGAAACCCAGGUGGCACUCCGGAGGGUGAGCGAGGGAAAGAGCCGCACACACUCUGCAGGGGCCGGAGGGCUUUUGGAAGAGGGCGUCAAGGGACAGCUGGCUACUUACGUUGUGUUGUCUGCGCUGCUGAGGAUCCUGCAAGGUGUUCUGUUGGCACCGGGCGCUGAGCCAGGGAAGGGCACUGGAAACAAAAGGGAGAGACAAAAAAUAAAGUCACACAGCGGGAAUAUUAAUUGCCUCUCUUGCGGAUUUUACAAAACACACAAAAUGUUUUCUUCUUGCUGUUCCUUUUUUUUUUUUUUUUUUUUUUUUUUUUUUUUUGUGGAUUGGCGCGAUUCCCCUCUGCGUGGAAAAUACUAGCAUGGGAUUUACAGCCCAGCUACAGGGCUCGGGAUUAACAGCGCUGGCAUCUUUUGGGCAUAUUUUUUCUGUUAAUGAAUGAGCUUUCGCUGUUAAUGAGGAAUAAUCGUUUGGCUAAUGAGCUUUGAAACAUUAAGAGAAAAGAGGGUUUUUUUCCCGUUAAUCGCCCUGGUGCGACCGCAUGGAUGGAUUACAAAAGACAGCAGUAGGAACGCAGUACAAAGGGGGGGAAACGUCUCCUGGAGUGGGAUAAAUGCAGAGAUGGGUGAUGUGUCCCCGCAUCUCUCCUUCCUUCCCUUCCCUCUCUCUCUGCCAACUGCUAUGGGUUUCCAUAACUCCGCAAUCAAAGUGGAUAUUCGGGAAAGAUUAUUAUAGUCAAACAGCGGAGUGUCGGCUGUUAAUGUCUCCAGUGUUUAAUCAUCAUACAGUAGAAUGGUUUUAUGCAUAUUUCAUUUGCAUAUCAUUAAACUGCAUUAGCACAGGACGUUCAGAGCUGGAGAGGUACAAAGUUGGGGGGAGAGAGAGGGAGAGCGAGAAAGAGGCAGAGGGAGGAAGGUCCCUGUGAUGCCUAUCUUCAAAAGCAGGGACUUGUUCCAUGGUCUGUCUUCUACUUUUCCUAAAAUCAUGGUGACUUGGAAACCUUUGAAGUUGGAUAUAACCUUGGAUUCUUCUAAUUUCAGCAGAGUGAUGUAUUAGAAAGGGGUAAACGAUGCUGCGCUAGACAUUUAAAGGAAUAUAAGCUCCAGUGGAAUGGAAAUAGGAGCUCUUUGGGGAACAGACUGGCAGAGCCAGCUGCGGCUUCAACAAACACCACAUUUCUUGGUUAAUAUUAGUAAAGGAUACCAGAGUAAAACAAAAGAAAUGAAGACAACAUAUACAUUAAGAUGGGGAUUAUAUUUCUCUUUCUCUUGCUUUUCUGUUUUUUUUUUUUUUUUUUUGAAGAUAAAAAGGAGGAUGGAACCAGCGGUAAUUUAUGCAUUAAUUAGCAAGCAAUUGCCUCUUGUGUUUGUUUUUCUUCUCUCUUUAUUUUGGAGAGGGGUGUUGUCACUGCCGAAGAGAUUAAUCAAUUAUUUGGUAGUUCAGAUCCUUCUCCACCGGCACCGAUAGGAAUGAGGUGGUGGUGGUUGCGGGGGGAGGAACACAGUGGGCUCUUUGUAGGUCUUAUACAUGCACAACAUAUUAAUUGGGGUCUUUAUAAAGCUCCCUCAAUAGACUGUUUCUUCUGUGGUAAAACAGCAGCUGGUUAGCCACUGUUGGCGACUCUUCAAAUAUCAUUUUUGCUGGGGGCAUUUCUACCGCUGUUUGUUGUUUUGCUUUAUUUUCUUUCCCAAUGGAGGGGGCUGCCCGCGCGAUGCUAUGCUGCCCGCUGGUCUUGAAUGGCAGAAAGAUAGACAAUAUCAAUAUCGAGACGAUCUCUUGAGCUGAAUGCAGAACUUUGCUUCAAAAUGAAAUGCUGUUUUAUAUUUAAAUUUUCCUCCUUCUCCCUCCCCCACGUUUCUUCUCCAAGUCUUUGUCUCGGCUAUGAAUAUUCAGAUGAGCUGUGAUGUGAUUACACUGUACAAUUACUUUCGUCCAUGGUAGUGGCAAAGGCACUGAGGAAAGACAGAGCCAGACAAGCUCAGAGCUCAUUUGGGGUUUGUUUUCUCUAUUUUUGCCCAUCUCUGUAGCGCUGCAGCACAUGCAGAUGUCGCUGUUGUUCUUUAUAAUUCUUUAUAAUGAUAUGCAAAGGCAUAACGACCCCAUUUGGGUGCACAGCAUCAACGAUAUAUUAUUGGGGGGGGGGGGGGGGGGGGAAUCCUGACUGAAGGAAUGUCCACAUAAAUUAUUUUUAUUUAAAUCAGUUGAAGGAGGUGGUGGUGAAGCAGAGGAAGUCACAUGAAUACAUGCAUAAUGUUAAUAUGCAGAAAGGUUAUUGCCAAGGAGAAGAGUGUUUUCUGCACAGCGCUUGGGACAAACAGGCUCAUUAGGGAAUAGCACAGCCCACUGCGUGAUUUACUUAUUUAUCAUUACUCAUACUUAAGCUGGGGCACCAGUCAUGCUCACUGCCUGGAGACUCUUUGAGGACCAGGAGCUCAGUGCCUACACCAUUCCCUGCUUCCAUUCAGAAAUUUCAGUGAUAUACACGGUGGGAGGGGGACAGGAAGAGGAACUGGAGGGAGAAUGUGUUAAGUGCCAUGCUUCAGUAACAAAGGAGGAGCUCAAUGACAGCCUUGUGGGUAAAGUGACAACACGGCAGUGCGUGUUAGUGUUUAGAUGCUGUUGCUGGCUCAAGGCAGGCUUCUGUGCAUUGCUUCAGGGACAGUACAAGUGAUGCAGUGCCCAUGCCCUGCCCACUGCUCUGUGCCUCCAGCACAGGGAUGACAGUCUGGGAGUGGGCUGCUCCCAGCCACAUGUGCCACCAGGAUACUGAAGGUGGGACAGACCUGGCAGAUAGUGAUUCCUGGUUCCUGGGCUGUAUCAGCAGAGGAAUGGCAGUGGGGCAGGGAGGGGAUUGUCCCCUCCGCUCUGCUCUUGUGGGACCCCAUCUGGAGCACUGUAUACAGGCCUGGGGCUCCCAGCACAAGAAGGAUGUGGAACUGUUGGAGCAGCUUCAGAGGAGGGCCACAAAGAUUAUCAGAGGAUGGAGAAUGUCUCCUAUGAAGAUAGGCUGUGGGAACAAUGCUUCUUCAGGCUGGAGAAAAGAAGACUGGGGAGACCUCAUUGCAACCUCCUAGUACUUGAGGGGAGCUUAUCAACAGGAGAGUGGUAGGACAAUGGUGAAUGGCUUUAAACUAAAAGAGUGGAGAGUUAGAUCAGCUGUUGGGAAAAAAAUUUCUACCCAGAGGUGGUGAAGCCCUGGCACAGGCUGCCCGGAGGGCUGUGAAUGCCCCAUCCUUGGAGAAGCCCAAGGCCAGGGAUGGGGCCCUGGGCAGCCUGAUCUGCCCACAGCAGGUGCAUUGGGACUACGUGAUCUUUAAGGUCCCUUCCAGUCUAAGCCAUUCUGUGAUUCUGUGAUCCUCUCUCACCUGCUUCUUCCUCAGAACGGGAAUUGUUAUCACUUGAUAUUUUUAACACACAAAUGUGUGUGUAUGGAGAAGAACCUCUUGGCUGCUCUGUGCUCUGCUAGGAAUGCUUUUUUGGAUCAGGGUCUUGUAUGUACUUAGGGUUAACAAAGAUUUAAUGGGCCAUCACAGAACAGCAACGCCCUCAUUGCAGCGUAGUGACAUUAGCGAAGGACAUUAGAAAAACCUGCUUGUGUGCCCGCUGUGCACAGAUCCUGAAUCAGCCUCUACAACGCCCAUGGUGUAAGAAAGGCUCAUACUGCUGCCAGCCUUAUCUCCAGAGAAGGACCAUGGCUUUAAACACAAGAAGAGAACAGGCAGGAUGGAAAAUAAAGACUUGCAGGUGGGACCUGUUCUCAGAGGAGCUGUCCUCUCCUUCCAUCCUGUGGGCACAUGCAGAUGCUGCCAAUAACUAGAAACACUACUGAGCAGAUCCCCAGCUGCCAGACCGGGGUUGUUUCUCUGCCUUUUAAUAGUGUCUGACAAGGAUAUGGUAUGAGCAUCUGUUCAAAGCAGGCUGUGGAGUCCUGAGCAAACAGCUACCAGGUCUUCAAGCAGGCUCUAUCACUAAAAGAGCACCAAGAACCUUGAACAGAAGGAUAAGGCUCUCAUCUAAGGACUAAUGGGCAGAGGAUGCAGUGGCCCAUAGCAAAGAGGGACUGCUGCCCAAUGCCUGAAGAUUCAUAACUAUGAUCUCAUCUAUUAGUUCUCCGAAUCAAGUUCCUUCCUGCAUCUCCACAGAUGCAUUUGUAAUGCACACGCACACACCCUUCUGUAAAGCCACCUGGGAAUCUGAGCACAAGGCAAGUCUGCCAGCUCCGAACAAAAACAGGACACCAAUACCACCUCUAGGCAGGAAUCCUAAAUCCAGCCUCUCUCUGCUCAAAGUUGAAAAAGUGCAAAAAUUCAAGGCACAAGGGAAGUCUGACCAUCAGCCUGACUUAGGGUUAGAUAUGAAUAUCCCGUCCAUGACCACACAACACUCUUGAAGGCCCUACUGAGACACGUUACCAUCCAGACAAAAUGCAACUGGUAUGGCAGCCAGCCAGACCUCAGAGAGUACCCUAGAGCCUGUCUGCUGCAAGGCACUGAGCUGCUGCCAUGAGCCGCAGUGACCCAAGCAGAUCACCUCCGCCUCACCCACCCAUACCAAUGGCUUUCUGACCCCAGCGCAGUGGAUCCCAUCAGCGACUCUUUCUAUAGGUAGCAGGAAGAAGAUUACAGAUGGGAAAAGAAGCACAGGUUGUACCAUAUAAGCAAUGUGUGUGAAGCAGAGGAGUGGUGAUGCAGCUCGCAGCAAGAGGCAGUGAUACUCUGAGAUGCCCACACUGCUCUGCAUACUACCAGGGAUGCUCUCACACAGCUUCUGCAGGGCUGUUCUGGCCGUGCAGGCUGCUGCUGCUCUUUAACAUGCACAGCUGUGAAAUAUGACUGCUGCUGUUUCAAACUACUCCUGAUUGCAAAUCUGUGACCACUGUGAAGUGAAUCUCCCCAUGGAGACUUUAGAAAGGGGCAGCUAUUAUAAUGCCACAGGAACCAUUGCUCUGCUUGUCAUUGUACCAAGCACCCUGAAGAAAUGGCUGUUUAGAAAAGGAAAUUCAAGAAUUUAUGAAACAUAUUGAUAUUCAAAAAGAAAGAAAAAAAAUAGAUUGUUUUGCAAAUAGUAGCACUGCUGAAGAGUGGAAAGAAGUGCAUCAGUCAUUUGAUAUUACAUAUAAGCUGUUUAUUAAAGAAUUAAAUAUUUAUAGACUAUAAAGCAAGCAGGGCGAUGAGUCGCAAACAGCUUGCUGAGAAGUAUGUUAUAAACAAUGAGUCUGUCAGUGACUAAUAAAGUAUGGAGAACACAAAUGUUUCAUGAACCACCAGGUCAGCUAUCAAUCCCCAAAGCCACUGAGGUUCCUGCUGCAGUGCAAGCCUGGAGCCAACAUGGGAGGGACAGUGUCUGAUGAGAGAUGUGGAGCACAGACACAUGCUGAGCACUCGUGGGAAUGCACAUGAUUCAAUGCCUUAGAGAGAUUUACUUUUUCACAUUAUUUUAAACACAGAUCUAUUAAUAGGAAGUGCAGGAAUUUUGGAGUUCGAGACACUUCCCUCUUCAGUUUUUCACUGCAUCUACUCUUCCAUUUCCAACAAAACUACAGUCUGUGAUUCAGACUGAAAUUCCUCUCUGCACAAAGCUCUUUCGUUCCCUCACAGACAUGAAAGGUGCAGAUACUCCAGGCACCAGCUUCCCUGUUCUGAGUGACGGCAGACAGCUCACACUUAUAAAGGCUUUUUAAGAGGAACAAAUAGUUUCUAGCCCAGAAAGACAGCAAUCCCUUUCUUCUUAUUAUUAUUAUUAUUUUUAGAAGAAACUGACAAAAGUGUGCACUUUAUACUAUUUGAGAAGGACAUCCCUCAUUUCUCAAUAGCAUACAGACAUCGAUCAUAUUAAUUUGGAGGAAAAAGCUGCUUUAUUACUAGUGGAGAUAUAAUUAAAAUCUCUUCAGAUUAUUUUUAUUUUUCUGGGUGCAGCCCAAGGCCUAGAAAUUAUUUCUAAUGGAGGACAAGCUGAUACCUUUGGUCAUUUCAAAGCUGAUUCCUAUAACUGUUCUCACAGUUUCAAGUCUGGUAAGAUGGCGGAAGCUCCCAAGUGGUAUCAGCAUUUGUGACCCUUUAGAAUUUACUCUCUUUGCAAGCCAGCAGGAUUUAGACCUGCUUCAAAAAUCCCAGUCACCACAAAUCCCACUCCUCCGACAGUCACUGUACUAAAUAUCAUCCUCCAAGGCUGCAAGCCAAAGUGUUGUCUGCUGAGACAACGAGGGGAGAAUCCAUACAGAGAGAGGAGACAGAACUGGUGCCUUCUUGCUCUCAAACGUCGUCCACUGAAGAACCAUAUUAAAUUAACACAGGUGUACGCAGGCUGAGAACCAACCAGGCUUGGGGAGGACAGAUUCUGUUUAAGUUGUAGAAAGAAACUCCAUUUUGCCAGCUGUUCUUUCUGUAUUUAGAUAAGGUUGUAGAUUUUAAUCCUCCGAAACACAAGUUACAUCUUUUUACUGUUAAAAACCAGUAAUUAUUCAAGCUUAUUUUCCUGGGAAGAUACAUCAGACAAAAUUUCGGCUUAAAGAGCAACCUUUGCUGUUGUGUGUGGAAAUAAUUACAGCAUGGUUUGGAUCUCAGCAGACCUUUAGGCUGACAAAGGAGGUAUACAGAAAAGCACAGUCCAAUCAAAGGCACAAAACCCAUUAGUUCCAGAUGACUCGUUUGCAGCGGUCCAUCUCUGGAGAGCACAGAGCCUAUUAUCUUCAGGGAUCCCGACAGGCGAGCACGGUACCUUCCAGAGAGCACUGUCACCAGCCUGAUGGAAGAAUCAGACUGCUCCAUCUGUUCCAGCACCAUCCUGUGCUGGUGGGACCCUUCCUAUCUCCCCCAGCUUCACCAGUUAUGGAGCACAGCAAGAAACCCUAAGCGUGCGCUCAAACUACAACAAGACCAGCUGAGCUGGAAAUGAAAACUCUGUUCUCCGUUCUCCUCUCUCCUUGCAGUCCAGCUCUUUUAUCUCUCCAUACCAGCCAUCAUUUACCCCUGAAGAGUUGUCUUUACCUGGGUGAUUUUAGCUACUGUUACUCUAUCGUUCUCCUAACCCACAAUUCUAAAACCAUGGAACACACUUGGCUUAGGGUUACAUGUAUCAAGGAGCUUGCCUCCCUUCCAUAGACCAGUCUGUUAGCAGGAUACAGAGGUCUGCUCCUGAUCCACUCUCAUCUCUUUUGUUGAAGAGUACAGUGCUGUGCUCAUCUCCAACUAGCUCAACAACACCGGGCCAUCAAAACACACCACUUCAGGACAUAACUCACUCACCCAGGCUUUGAUGCACUUUUCUAUUCCAUAUUCCCUCUGCGUUUCUUUGCUCCUCCAGCUGCCUUUAACCCCUGCCUCCAGGCACACUUCAGCACUCACAACUCCAGAUACUCUUUUGCUUUCCUGACUGUCCUCCUUCCACUCAAGCACUUUGGUGGAUUUUGAGUUGAUUGAAAAACAGGCACUGUUGGAUGAAAGCUCCUUACUUCCACUUGUUUGCUGUGGCCAUGCAACUCCCAAAGGCUGUGGAGUCGCAGGAGAAAACUGCCCUGGGAGGAUGGUUAGAAGCACUAUAUAGUCUCAAGUAGCAUGAAGUGCAUUACCAAAGGCUCAACAGACCAGCUGGGUCACAUCUCCACAAAAACACGUACUUUGUUGCCCAAUAUCUGGCACACAUCACUUGGAAUACAAACAUAUCUCAGUGUGUUUUGAGACAAUUUGUUGUCUACUAUCUACCAUUCUACAGUUCUGAAAGUACCUUAUCCCCUAUUCUCAUGGAUUCAGGUAUCAAAUAGAGAAAAUACACAGGUACUUCAUAUAUUUUGUUAUAUAUGUUCCCUAUGUACAUUGAAAGGGCAUUAUUUUAUUUUAAUGGACUCCUUUAAGGAAUAUUUGUCAUUUCAGAAGUCUGCGAGUGAGGCUACUGCUUAGCACGUUCCUUCUGCCUGCCCUGCCAGAUAUAUGGCUACAGGAUGCUCUUGAAGCACCUGGCAUGUGUCCCACAGAACCAUUGCCUCCCAGCAGAGCACAUGGAAGUGCUCUUUUGCUAAUAUGAUGUAUGGCUGUCAUGUCGCCUGUUGGUUUUAACACUGCAAUCUUUGAUCACUGAGAACCGUUUGAGUCCACCCUGCAGUCCCUGCAUCCCAAAGCAGUGGAUCCUGAACAUCCUGCACCCUUCAUCAAAUGCCAGGCUGAGGUUUUACCAUGGAUUUAAUCCAAUAUGUCUGGAUAAUGACCAAGGAAUGGAAGAGGGACAUCCCGCCUUCCUCCAGCAUUGGCAUUCCUGCCAUCUCCCACAUGACGUUACCCCAUGCCAGUUCUUACCCAGAUAACUCACUGAUGUAGCUGGUGAGCAGUAGUGGUACCAGUAUAAAGGAGGUGAAAGAUCACAAGUUAAAAGCUAGGAAGGGAAGAUUACAAGGUUGGAACUUUUGCUUUAAACAUGGGAGGUUAUCUAUUUUAAAACAACAAUUAUUUAUUUAUUUUAAUUUUAACAAGAACACUAGGAAGAACAUUUGUUAGUGUAUAGGCUGCUAAUAACUGCCCAUGGAGGAACUUUUCUGUAUCUGGUUGAAACGAGAACAACUAAGUCAAUUCCUGAUUUAUUCCAACCCAUCAUUUCUCUGCAUUCCUAUUGUGUGAGACAUUUUUGCCUUGCUGGGGUCCUUGAGAAACUGAGCAGUGCUUCAGAUGUCAUGCUUGGAAAGAGAACCCCAGCUGGUUCUGGGUAGCAGGGGGGUCCAUGUGCAGUGGGACUGGCUCUGUACUCUUGUCAUCAUGGAGAACAUCUGAGACCCUCUUCUGGCAGAUGGUGACUCAAUAAACAAAUCUGAGCUUGUCUUCAGUAACAGAGUGUUAUUAUAUAAAAGCUUCCAAAUAGAAAACGAUCAAUGUGCUCUUAGGAGAUAUUGGAGACGUAUCACCUGUACUUGCUAGAAAGAAGAAAGCCAAUUUCAGAAGCUGCUGUUAAAGCCCACUGUCCCCUCCUCCCUUUUAAACCAAAGAGAAGCACAUAAAGGACAGACAGCAGAAAAAAAGCAGCUCAGUUAAUCAGUGGCUUCAGUCCCUGAAAAAAUCUUCUCAAACUUAUGCCAUAGUUUGGUAUGCUAUUGUUUCACCUUGCCACUGAAGUCCUAGAGGUCUCUAUGUCCAGGGCUAUACCAGGAUCACGAAAUACCAAGCAAAGGAACAUCAAGGAUAAACCAAAGUAAGGUGGGAGGAAAUGCUUAACACUUCAGCUGCUCCAAGUUCUGACAGUAGCUUCCUCUUCCUUGUGGGUACAGAGAAUGGUGAUGCAAUAGGAGAUGUGGAAUUCCAGUCAAGGACUACAGAUGGCUAUGUAAUAAAUAACACUUCCUCUUCUUCCUCACCUAGCUGCCAGAGAAUAAAUUCCUAGAAACAGUGCAAAUAUCUUCCUGCAACACUCACAUUCAAACCUUUUCUUUGGAGCUGGAAUUAUAUCUGUGCCUGGUAUGAAAGUAUUCCAGCUCCUCAAAUGCCCUUUCUUGGCUCAGAUAAUUCUUUCAACUUAAAGACACCUAGUCUUUGUUGUUUGUCUUGAGUCUUCAUUUCUUUUACAUGCACUCCUAGGUACAAGGUCAAGCUACGCUUGUGGUACUGUGCCCCUGUCACAGAACAGAGGAAGAGGUUAGCCCAGUUAAUAUUCUAUAAGUCUCAGCUUAUGGGGAUCUAAAUAGUCAUUAGAAGUCAGUGCAACUUGUGUAGGACUGCACAGACUCACACCAGGAGCCACACAACCUCAGCACUGCUGGGGAAACCGCACAAAGAAGGCCUAAAAUUGGCCUCUCCCCUAUAACCAAAUGACAUCUCUGAGCUCUCAGAAAACACGUUAUACAAAAUCACUGAUAAUUUAGGGUGGAAGGGACCUCCAAAGGUCAUCAAGUUCAGCCUUCUCCUCAAAGCCAGUCUACUCGGAUUAGGUUGCUUGGGAACUUGUCUCCAUACAUUCAGCUUUGUCCAUAGAGAUAACAACAAAAAUCUACAUAUAAAAAUAUCACAAAAUGAAUGAUUACUCUGGACUGGUUAAAAGCCCCUGUCUGCUAACACUUAGAGCCAGAUGGACCAGAGAGCCUUCGAAAGAUCCCCAGGGGUUUACAAACUCCAGGUUCAGGGCAACUGAUCUAACCUAGCUGCUAUUUAAACCAUUACUUCUUAAACAGAGAAAAGAGAUUAUUCCCUUCCCCUUGGCAGCAGCUUCUUCAUAUUUGAAAGCUGUUGUCAUAUCAGCCUUCUCUACUGCUAUUAUGAAAUUUGCACAUAAGAGCCAACAGAACAAGACAGGAAACAUUUUGGCAUGCUGCCUUUUGUGCUUCUGCUGAUUCAUCUUGUUAGAAGUAUCACACAAGUAACCAUUCUAGAAGCAAUGCUGCAUUAGCACCAAAAGCUUUCCAAAGUUGAUUCCUAGCCUCCAUUUACUUUCAUAAAUAAAUGCAGAGAAUCAGGUUGCUAUAUUAUUACAAAACACCAUGAAAGACUGGUUCAAAAUAGCACUUGCCAUCUAGCAAAGGGCUCCCACAGUUUCAUUCACGCCUGAGAAAUAAUCAGUUCUGUUUGCAGAAGGAUGCUGAAAUGACUUGCUCUCAAGAGGUGAGGUGGAUUCCUAAAGAGUUCGACCCUUUGUGAUUCAUAGUCAACAGAUGCUCUUGAACAAGAGCAGGUCAGGUGGUAAUCCCCUCUAUUUUGUCGGCAGCAGAAAAGCAGCAUAAGGUACAUCAAGAGUUUGCAUUGAAUUCCUGUAGCAAGUGUUUAGUUACCUCCAGUAGGAUAGCAGCUUGUGAAGUUGAGCAUAGGUUUAUAUCCGAGAAUGGUGAAAGCAGACACACGACCACAGCACAGUUGUGCCUGGCCUGGUUUUAACAGCUUGCAAUAAAGUAUUUUCCUCCAGUACCACGUAACUAAGCAAGCAGCACAUUGCCUUUGAAAACAGACAGUCUUGUGUGUCCACUGGAGGUUAAAAGGCUUGGCUCCUACUUACAGCUCUGUCAUAUGCUUUCUAUAUGACCUGGAUCCAUCACAGGAGAGUUCAAGGAAGAACCAGGAACUCCAGUAAUAUUGGAGCAUUUCUCAGUCACUUAAUGGAAAUACUUAAAGGACCUGACUAUAUGCCGCAUUAAAAAAUAAAAAAAUAAUAAUAAUAAAAAAAUCAAAGAAAAGGCAGAAAAAGUUACAAGUUAGUGAAAUAACACAUAAUCAUAAUCUCAGAAUGUAGAACAGAUGGCUAGCCAGGAGAGCACAAGUGUCGGGGACUUGGCAAGUACAAGGAAUCACCAAAGAUAUACUUUCCAGUAUCCAGAACCCUCUGGCUGUGCCCCCUGCAGGGCAGCCUGCUGCCCACAGCUGCAGUGUCUGCAGACUCCCUCCGGGCAGCAUCUCAGCCGCCACGGCUGGAGGUGGAGUCCUGCACCUCACGGGGCACACGUGGCAUCGUUUCUGUGUUUAAAAGAGGCUGAUAUGGCAGAGCUGUGCAAAGGAUUACCCUUCCUAAAUUCUCAUCUGAUUUAUUUAUUUUUACUGUCAAAUGAACACUGAUUUCAAGCUGUAACUCAGAAGCCUACAGUCAUGUAAAACCGCCUUUUCUGUUAGCACUGUGACAGGCAAAAUUCUUAUUGCUGCCCCCUGCGUCUCCUAUAGCUACCAUCAGCAUCUUUAGUUGGCAAAUUAGAAAUUUUAACAUUAUUUUUUGUUGUUUUCAGUUCUUUAUUUUAUAAAAUAGGUGUAUGUUCUUUUCAGCUUUUUCUGCUCCUUUUUUUCAUAACAGCUUUAGCAUUGCAGUAGGUGGACAUGUCUUGAAAAUCAGCAGGUAGAGAAGGAAUUGACAUUCAGGUGCAAUCUCUCAGGGUUCAGCCAGGGCAGAAGGAUAAACUGCAAUUUCAGUGCGUGCAGAUAGAGUGAGGGGUGCCUUUAAACAGACAUGCUUCUUUCAUAUUCUAAAGGGAAGCAGAUUGCAUGGAAUAUCCCAACUGGGUGUAAAGAACUUGUCUGCUGAGUGUGACACAAAUCUCCAUAGGAAGCUGGGACAGUAAAAGAGGGGCUGAGGUGCAAUAUAGUAUCUAAAACACUGAGCGCUUUAAAAACACGCAGUUCCAUAAACAUCAGCUGCGUGGUCUCUGCACUGCCCACGGCUCCAUGCUUGGUGUAGGUGCUGUUGCUGAUGGCUGCUCUCUCCUAGGGCAGGGUGGAACAAAGAAAGCAAUUUCUCUCCUUAAAAUCCACCAAUAAAAACAGCCAACCACAGAAAUACCAACAGAAUUAAUAUUAAAGCAGGGAAGACAGAUACUCAAAGCUCAGAAGUGAUGAAGACAGGCUGUUUGCAUGCACUGCUGUCCCUGCAGGUAAGUCUCAGUUGUUUCCUCAGCCUUAUUCCCUGUGUGUGCUGGAUGGCUGACCAGGAACAAGCCCAAAUUCCCAGUCUGAGUGCCAGUUCUGCCCACAGUGAGGCAGCUGUAAGACAGAAUGGCAGAAGAGGCAAGGAGAGCAGUGCUGCACCUCAGGUGUCAAUGAGGAGAUUUUUGCCAGAAAUGAUAAAUGAGAGCACGACCGGUCCUAGGUGGGACCAGUAAGCACACAACCAGAUUCUGACUGGUUGGGAACUUCUCCAUAUUUAGGUGCUUCUUUAAAUUCAGACAGUUAACAGCAGCCCUGAUAUUUUUUCAGCAUGUCUUCCACAACACCUCAACAAAACAAAGGUGAUUGAAAGGCUGAUGCACUAGCCUAACUCUCCAUGCAUUCUCAGCUGCUUCUUCUGCACUUUGUCCAGCAGUUACUGCAAUGUGCCUAUACUUCAGGAACAUAAAGAAAGCCAUGAUUAUGUUUUUUGUGUUCAUGAAACGAUGAUGAACAUGUUGUAUUCUUUUUCAAUAGCGGGCCCACAUAUACCAAAAAUGGACUUCUUCCUGUAAUAAAAAUAGAAGUAAUCUGGACUGGAAUCUGAAGGUUUUAGGAUUAAAUCUUGAUGAUAGUGUAUGGGUGAAAGAUGUAAUAGGCUUACACUGGAAAUCCAGCAUCCAUUUCUGGAACAGAAACAAGCAAGUGAAGAAAUAUUUGCUACAAGCAAUUUUUACAGUGAAACCUUCAUCAAAGCUAGCAGGUAUGGCCAAUGGGCAAAAAGUAAUGCCAGAUUUCAGACAGCUGCUGACAAUCCCAGCUUGUGCUGCACAGGUGUGAAUUUGAUUGCUGAGAGCUCUGUCAAAAAGAUGAACAACUUUUGGCAUUGGCUUCACUGCAGUCAAUGACAGACUGCAGAUCUUGUUAUCAUGGAGGCACAAUAACUUCAAGUGGACUGAAGCCACCUUCACUGAAGACACAAACUGGUUUCAUUGCCUUAGUUCACAAGAGCUUUGAGGGGUCCUAUCAGAAAGAAUAGCCAUUUCAAACUUAGAAAAAGAAGAAUCUGCUAGGAAAGAUGAAAAGUUAAUAAUUAAUAGCUUUCUUUGAUUACAAGUCUUUAAUGUAUAUUUCAAAACACUAGCAGAUAAGUUUCUGCUGUAUGGAAAGUUAGAAGCAUAAAUAACAAUCUAACAAUGUACAAGCAAAAACGGAGGAACCACCCUUACCUUUUCCCCAAGUCAGACAUCGGAAAUGUCAUAAUCAUAUCCUACUCUGAUCUUGCUAAAUUAUUGUAAAAUACUGAGGAUAUAAGCAUCUCUCUGUAGGCUUCGUUCUGUAAGUGCAGUUCUCUGCAAGUCCAGUCAUUAAUUUAAUACAUAUAUUACAAAUGUAAUUCAUCUUUGCCUCCUCUCACUUCCAUAAGUUCUCUUGCCAUCCAGACUGUAAAUUAGAUGUCAUACUCAAAGAGCUGCACAGUUUUCCCAGAUCUGUAAAAUUGCUGGAUUCUUUCUGUUCUUUCUCUGUGCUAUCUCCAAAAGGCAUUCCUUCUAUAGAAGGUUUACUUUGUGGCCUUAGAUCUCAAACGUUGGUUGAAAUGACCUCCACACCUGUAGCUUUCCCAGGAAUCACCCUAUUUCUUGGGAUUUGCAGUGAAACUCCCCCACCUGCCCAACGUGCCGCCCAUGCUGUGAGCGUUUGUCCCUCCCUGAAGCAGUUCUGAGCUCCGCUGGCUGCAUCUCCCCAGCCCCAGGACCACAGGUCAGGUGUCAGAGGGAGCAGCAUCCUAUGCCACGUGUCCCACUGUGCUGGGGGUGCUGGA
rnacentral:lncRNA from 1 species